rnacentral:misc_RNA from 1 species
UGAGGCGUCGAUUCAACUGCCGAUACAGAAACCAUCCGCUUGGGCGACUCCAUAGCCUUCAAAGAAACCCUUCCGCCGCGAGAUGACAUCAUAGAGUUCUUCAUAGGAGUUGAUUUCCCUCUCUGCUCCAUUAAAACUUAGUGGAGGAGCCGACAAUUCACACGGUGGCGCCGCCGUACUGGCUCAGUUAUAAACCGGCGAAUUACCUGGCGGCCGCCGCCAUGCACCG